AUAAUAAACAGACGUUUCGGGUACAACCCUUUUUCAAUGCAGGGACAUGGUGCAUUGAAAAAGGGUUGUACCCGAAACGUCUGUUUAUUAU